AGAGUUUGAUCCUGGCUCAGGACGAACGCUGGCGGCGCGCCUAACACAUGCAAGUCGAGCGGAGCUCUUCGGAGCUUAGCGGCGGACGGGUGAGUAACGCGUGAGCAACCUGGCCCUCAGAGGGGGAUAACGUCUGGAAACGGACGCUAAUACCGCAUAACAUGGCGGGAUCGCAUGGUCCUGUUAUCAAAGGAGAAAUCCGCUGAAGGAUGGGCUCGCGUCCAAUUAGGUAGUUGGUGAGGUAACGGCUCACCAAGCCCGCGAUUGGUAGCCGGACUGAGAGGUUGGCCGGCCACAUUGGGACUGAGACACGGCCCAGACUCCUACGGGAGGCAGCAGUGGGGAAUAUUGGACAAUGGGGGCAACCCUGAUCCAGCCAUGCCGCGUGAGUGAUGAAGGCCUUAGGGUUGUAAAGCUCUUUCGUCAGGGAAGAUAAUGACGGUACCUGAAGAAGAAGCCCCGGCUAACUUCGUGCCAGCAGCCGCGGUAA
rnacentral:rRNA from 1 species